GUUUUGAAAAGUAUAAUCAGCAGUAUUUCGUUCAUUUUAGUUAACAAACACCUCAUAAAUGAGUAGAAAAACCUGAAUAUUGAAUAUUCCGGAGCCCAACUAUUCUCUGUAUCCUAGUGCCAUCUAUGAAUGCGACAGAUACAAGUUUCCCAAUUUAAACUAUUAUAAUCAAUAAUUAAUGUUUCCACGUGUUUCCACUUGUGUAAGUGGAGUUACAGGGGGAGCAGUCGCAGUUUUCACCACCUAUAAGUACAUGCCCUAAAGAUAAAGGCAUCCCGAGCUCUCUAUUUGUGUGCAAACCAGAUAAGACAAAAGUUAUUUAAACAUAAAAUAGUUAACAAGUUAAAAGUUAAAAAGUUAAUUUUAACUUAGUUUUAAUAAG